GGUUGGCGUUUGUCUCAUACGAUAAGCCCCACACCAAUCCGGAAAAGAAGACCACCUAUAUCAUCUUCGUCAAGAAGAGCGAAAACAAUGAAGAAGAAGGCGACUCAAACGAGACGGAGAGCUAGAAAUAGACCCGCAACGGAAAGCCAAGAAAAUGCUACAGAUAAUUAAUUCUAUUAUGAAGAAACGAGCAAUCAAGCUAAUGUGAACACUGGCAUAUCUGCGUUUUGCGUGCAAUGUCAUAACUGAUAACUAGCAAACACUAGCGAAAUCACAACAAUUCUACAUUUAAUGUUCUUCUCGAUGAACCGUUGUGAAUUCACUGCAAUGUUAACUCAAUGUGUGUGGCCUGUUCUUGCGUCCUUGUGUACUAUCAACAUAGAGCAGAUCACAGUCCGCGAAAAUAUGACAUCGUGUAUUUUAACGCCUUCGUUAUGUCACACGACAACAUAAGAAGGAUGCUUUGCACCUUGACCUUUAGACCCACCCACUCCAUUUGCCUAAUAGCUGAUAACGGAGUCUUUGCUAAAAAGUGGUUACGUGAUAUAGAUUUUACACCGAGUUAAAAGUUUGAACUGUUCCUGUUGAGACUGAUAGAGCGAAGCAUCAAGCAAUGUUUUCUACACAUGAGCUCAAAGAGAAGUGCCCAAAUAUGAUAUAUGGUGACAGAUUGAUGUCAAACACAUAUCACAUGUUUGAAGGCCUUGCCAAUAAAACAUUUUCACUUCGGUUA